rnacentral:rRNA from 1 species
UGGGGAAUUUUGGACAAUGGGCGAAAGCCUGAUCCAGCAAUGCCGCGUGUGUGAAGAAGGCCUUCGGGUUGUAAAGCACUUUUGUCCGGAAAGAAAUCCUUGGCUCUAAUACAGUCGGGGGAUGACGGUACCGGAAGAAUAAGCACCGGCUAACUACGUGCCAGCAGCCGCGGUAAUACGUAGGGUGCAAGCGUUAAUCGGAAUUACUGGGCGUAAAGCGUGCGCAGGCGGUUUGCUAAGACCGAUGUGAAAUCCCCGGGCUCAACCUGGGAACUGCAUUGGUGACUGGCAGGCUAGAGUAUGGCAGAGGGGGGUAGAAUUCCACGUGUAGCAGUGAAAUGCGUAGAGAUGUGGAGGAAUACCGAUGGCGAAGGCAGCCCCCUGGGCCAAUACUGACGCUCAUGCACGAAAGCGUGGGGAGCAAACAGGAUUAGAUACCCCUGGUAGUCCACGCCCUAAACGAUGUCAACUAGUUGUUGGGGGAUUCAUUUCCUUAGUAACGUAGCUAACGCGUGAAGUUGACCGCCUGGGGAGUACGGUCGCAAGAUUAAAACUCAAAUGAAUUGACGGGGUCAUAGCUGUUUCCU